GAAGCUACUAUUUUAACUCUUUCAACUCUGGCGGGGCCAUGCGAUACGGUAGAAUAGAAAUAAGUUGAGUGCCAGGAGCAAGAUCAAUACAUAAUCAAUAUCCCUGUCGGGCGGCAUACCCGGCAGGUCUGAAGGAAAAACCUCGGGAAACUCCCGAACAAUUGGAAAAGAGUCGAUAGAUGGAACCUCUGCGCUGGAGUCGCGAACAUACACCAAAUAUGCUAAAC
rnacentral:lncRNA from 1 species